rnacentral:rRNA from 1 species
GACGAACGCUGGCGGCGUGCCUAAUACAUGCAAGUAGGACGCAGUUGCGAACGGGUGAGUAACGCGUAGGUAACUACCUAUUAGAGGGGGAUAACUAUUGGAAACGAUAGCUAAUACCGCAUACUAGUAGAUGGACCUGCGUUGUAUUAGCUAGUAGGUCGGGUAAUGGCCUACCUAGGCAAAGGUACAUAGCCGACUGGGAGGGGAGAUCUGGCAAACUUGGAAUGAGAAACGGCUCAAGUGCCUAAGGGAGGCAGCAGUAGGGAAUCUUCGGCAAGUGGGGGAACCCUUACCGAGCAACGGCGCUGGAGUGAAGAAGGUUUUCGGAUCGUAAAGCUCUGUUGUUAAGGAAGCGGUACUUAACCAGAAAGGGACGGCUAACUACGUGCCAGCAGCCGCGGUAAUUC